rnacentral:lncRNA from 1 species
AGGGGCUAGGAUGAAAAAUUUUGUCCUGCAUUUUUUUUUAGCUGUAAUCUCUGUCCUGCCUUUUUAUUUUUCACUCUAAUCGGCCCUGCCUUGUUUUUUUUUUUUAGUUUUUCCUGACUUUUUUUUACCUAAAUUGUCGUCCUGACUUUUUUUACCUAAAUUGUCGUCCUGACUUUUUUUUUUGCAAGUGUCACAUCCUGCCUUUUUUUUUUUACUCAAAACUCCUGUCCUGCCUAUUUUUUUCAAAUUUCAUCCUAGCCCCCCCCCCC